rnacentral:rRNA from 1 species
UAGGGAAUCUUCCGCAAUGGACGCAAGUCUGACGGAGCAACGCCGCGUGAGUGAAGAAGGAUUUCGGUUCGUAAAACUCUGUUGUUAGAGAAGAACAGCGCAUAGAGUAACUGUUAUGCGUGUGACGGUAUCUAACCAGAAAGCCACGGCUAACUACGUGCCAGCAGCCGCGGUAAUACGUAGGUGGCAAGCGUUGUCCGGAUUUAUUGGGCGUAAAGCGAGCGCAGGCGGUCAAUUAAGUCUGAUGUGAAAGCCCCCGGCUCAACCGGGGAGGGUCAUUGGAAACUGGUUGACUUGAGUGCAGAAGAGGAGAGUGGAAUUCCAUGUGUAGCGGUGAAAUGCGUAGAUAUAUGGAGGAACACCAGUGGCGAAGGCGACUCUCUGGUCUGUAACUGUCGCUGAGGCUCGAAAGCGUGGGUAGCAAACAGG